rnacentral:rRNA from 1 species
GUAGUCCACGCCCUAAACGAUGGAUACUAGGCGUAAGGGGUAUCGACCCCCCUUGUGCCGCAGCUAACGCAUUAAGUAUCCCGCCUGGGGACUACGGCCGCAAGGUUGAAACUCAAAUGAAUUGACGGGGACCCGCACAAGCGGUGGAGCAUGUGGAUUAAUUCGAUACUAACCGAAGAACCUUACCCACUCUUGACAUUGAAGGCAAGACGUAGAGAUACGUCCCUCUCCCACAAGGAGACCUGAAAACAGAUGUUGCAUGGCUGUCGUCAGCUCGUGCCGUGAGGUGUACGGUUAAGUCCGCCAACGAGCGCAACCCUCGUCUUGUGUUACCAGCACGUAAUGGUGGGCACUCACAAGAGACCGCCGGUGUAAGCCGGA